ACUGAACCUUAUCAUUUAGAGGAAGGAGAAGUCGUAACAAGGUUUCCGUAAGUGAAUUUGUGGAAGGAUCAUUAUCGAUGCCACACAAAAAGAGUGACCCACGAACCGGUUGGAAUGAACCUCAAGUGGGGGAAGGCAAUGGCGCGCCCGAGGGCACUCCCGGCAACCAAAUCCCGGACCUCAAGCGCCAAGAAACUGAAACAGAGAAAGGCGAUCUUGCUGGCGGCCCAGGAACGGCGCCGAUCACCCAGCGUCACAUCUCAUGCCAUUUGCAUCCGAAACGAAUCUCGGCAACGGAUAUCUCAGCUCUGGAAUCGAUAAAGAACGUAGCGAAAUGUGAUACUUGGUAUGAAUUGCAGAAUCCUGUGAACCAUCGAGUCUUUGAACGCAAGUUACACUCGAUGUCGUUAGGCUGAAAGCACGUCUGCUUCAAUGUCAUGUAACGUCGCCAACACCCAGUCCUCUGGGAAAGUGUCGCUGAUGAUGGCCUCCUGGGAGCCUCGCCUCCCAGUUGGCCGAAAGAGGGGCCUAACAUGACGACUACCAUGAUCCACGGUGGUUGAGUGAGCAUUCACUCUAGGCCAAGACGUACGUGUGUCGUCCUAUGGUAAGGGCCCGUCGGCUAGGGCAUGCGACAACAAAGCCCUCCACCCGUACGCACGUGGCCCUAA
rnacentral:misc_RNA from 1 species